UACAGAGGUGGCAAGCGUUGUUCGGAAUUACUGGGCGUAAAGGGCGCGUAGGCGGCCUUCUAAGUCGGACGUGAAAGCCCCGGGCUCAACCUGGGAAUUGCAUUCGAGACUGCAUUGCUGGAGUACGGAAGAGGAGGGCGGAAUUCCCGGUGUAGCGGUGAAAUGCGUAGAUAUCGGGAGGAACAUCAGUGGCGAAGGCGGCCCUCUGGUCCAGUACUGACACUCAAGUGCGAAAGCGUGGGGAGCAAACAGG
rnacentral:rRNA from 1 species